GAGGAGUAGCUUACAAUUCUGCCUACCAAUGCUCUCAUAUGCUAAAAUUGAAAUAUUACAGAACAUAUUAGAAUGGCCCCUGUGCAAGGAUGACAUGCACUUCAUUGCCCCCCACCCCAGAGUG
rnacentral:snRNA from 1 species